rnacentral:rRNA from 1 species
AAAGAUUAAGCCAUGCAUGUCUAAGUAUAAGCAAUCUAUACAGUGAAACUGCGAAUGGCUCAUUAAAUCAGUUAUCGUUUAUUUGAUAGUACCUUACUACUUGGAUAACCGUGGAAUUCUAGAGCUAAUACAUGCUAAAAAUCCCGACCUCUGGAAGGGAUGUAUUUAUUAGAUAAAAAACCAAUGCCUUCGGGCUCCUUGGUGAUUCAUGAUAACUUUACGAAUCGCAUGGCCUUGUGCCGGCGAUGGUUCAUUCAAAUUUCUGCCCUAUCAACUUUCGAUGGUAGGAUAGUGGCCUACCAUGGUUU